ensembl:lncRNA
UAGAGAGGCAGAGACAGUGAGGGAGGCGGAGACAGUGAGGGAGGCAGAGACAGGGUGGGAGGCAGAGACAGAGAGGGAGGCAGAGAGAGAGGGAGGCAGAGACAGUGAGGGAGGCAGAGACAGUGAGGGAGGCAGAGUCAGCGAGGGAGGCAGAGACAGUGAGGGAGGCAGAGACAGAGAGGGAGGCAGACAGAGAGGGAGGCAGAGACAGUGAGGGAGGCAGAGACAGUGAGGGAGGCAGAGACAGUGAGGGAGGCAGAGUCAGCGAGGGAGGCAGAGACAGUGAGGGAGGCAGAGACAGAGAGGGAGGCAGAGAGAGAGAGCGAGGCAGAGAGAGAGAGCGAGGCAGAGAGAGAGAGAGAGGGAGGCAGAGACAGAGAGGGAGGCAGAGAGAGAGGGAGGCAGAGACAGUGAGGGAGGCAGAGACAGUGAGGGAGGCAGAGUCAGUGAGGGAGGCAGAGACAGAGAGGGAGGCAGAGAGAGAGGGAGGCAGAGACAGAGAGGGAGGCAGAGACAGAGAGGGAGGCAGAGAGAGAGAGGGAGGCAGAGACAGUGAGGGAGGCAGAGAGAGAGAGGGAGGCAGAGAGAGAGAGGGAGGCAGAGAGAGAGAGCGAGGCAGAGAGAGGAGGAAAGGAAGAGGUGGAGGCAGUGGUGACCAGCUCUCUCCUCUCCUCUGGAAUGUUUGGGGUAGUUGAGGGCUUUGUGCUGUCACAGGAGACAGAGCAUUAUUGCUCUGUGUUUGUGUGUGUGCGUGUGUGUGUCAGUAUGCUAAAGUGGGAGGUACUUUAGGUUCCUGGGUGUUCUGUCAGUGCUGGGUGCCAUGGUAACAUCAUAAAUACAGAGCCUUCAGAAAGUAUUCACACCCCUUGACUUAUUCCACAUUUUGUUGUUACAGCCUGAAUUUGAAAUGCAUCAAAUAUAUUUUUUGCUCACCCAUCUACACACAAUACCACAUAAUGACAAAGAGAAAACAUGUUAUUGACAUUUUUGCAUAUUUAUUGUAAAUUAAAUACAGAAAUAUCUAGUUUACAUAAGUAUCCACACCAAUACAUGUUAGAAGCACCUUUGGCAGUGAUUAUAGCUGUGAGUCUUUCU